UACGGGGGGAGCAAGCGUUGUUCGGAUUUACUGGGCGUAAAGGGCGCGUAGGCGGCCACCGCAAGUCAAUUGUGAAAUCUCCGGGCUUAACUCGGAAAGGUCAACUGAUACUGCGGGGCUAGAGUGCGGAAGGGGCAACUGGAAUUUACGGUGUAGCAGUGAAAUGCGUAGAUAUCGUAAGGAAGACCAGUGGCGAAGGCGAGUCUCUGGACAGCAACUGACGCUGAGGCACGAAGGCCAGGGGAGCAAACGGG
rnacentral:rRNA from 1 species